CAGCCGCCGCGGUAAUACGAAGGUCCCGAGCGUUGUUCGGAAUCACUGGGCGUAAAGGGAGCGUAGGCGGCGUGGUAAGUCAGAUGUGAAAUCCCGGGGCUCAACCCCGGAACUGCAUCCGAUACUGCCGUGCUAGAGGAUUGGAGAGGUAGCUGGAAUUCUUGGUAUAGCAGUGAAAUGCGUGGAGAUCAAGAGGAACACUCGUGGCGAAAGCGAGCUACUGGACAAUAUCUGACGCUGAGGCUCGAAGGCCAGGGUAGCGAAAGGGAUUAGAUACCCCAGUAGUCCCUGUCUCUUAUAC
rnacentral:rRNA from 1 species